rnacentral:rRNA from 1 species
UACGAAGGGGGCUAGCGUUGCUCAGAAUUACUGGGCGUAAAGGGCGCGUAGGCGGCACUGUUAGUCAGGCGUGAAAGUCCUGGGCUCAACCUGGGAACUGCGCUUGAUACGGCAGAGCUAGAGGAUGGAAGAGGGUCGCGGAAUUCCCAGUGUAGAGGUGAAAUUCGUAGAUAUUGGGAAGAACACCGGUGGCGAAGGCGGCGACCUGGUCCAUUACUGACGCUGAGGCGCGACAGCGUGGGGAGCAAACAGG